rnacentral:lncRNA from 10 species
AAAACAGCCAUGUAUUAGGCUCACACAUUCUGUGGGUCAGGAAUUUGAUCAGGGCAGAGGAAUUCUAUGGAGCAGAGACAAGAGGAUGGCUGGCUUGACUCUACUCCACAGUGUCUGGGGCCUCAGCUGAAAGCCCUGAAGACUGCAGGCUAGAAUCUUCUGAAGGAAGGAAAGCAGGAGAGAGACCUGGGCCCUGACCUUCCUUCGUCACCAUCAGCUUGUGACAUCUUCUCAGGCCAGCCCUAGCCAACUCUGUGACUGUUUCCACAGGUGUCGAUGUUGGCAUCAUGUCUAACUUCUGCUGCUUCCCAAGGUCGCCAUGAUCAUCUCAUUAGUGAGCAGAUGUAAAGUAUUUGUAAAAAGGCAUCAUACAAAAACAAAGUUCAUUGUUAUUCAUCCUUUUCCUUCCCAAAUACACUAGACUUCUUUAAAACAUUAAAGCAAAGUGAGGCCAAGCUGUUUACUUGUUUAACCUAAUAUGAAGGGCCACUGCAAAGCCUGAGGCUCAAAGGUAAGAUUCACAGCCAGGUGCAGUGCCUCCCGCCUGUAAUCCCAGCACUUUGGGAGGCCAAGGCAGGAGGAUUACUUGAGGCCAGGAGUUCGAGACUAGCCUGGGCAACAUAGUGAGACCCUGUCUCUACAAAAAUAAAAAAAAUUAGCCAGGCAUGGUGGUGAGCGCCUGUAGUUUCCAGCUACUCAGGAGGCAGAGGUGGGAGGAUCACUUGAGCCCAAGAAUUUAAGGUUGCAGUGAGCCAUGAUUGCACCACUGCAUUCUAGCCUGGUGACAGAGUGAGACCUCAUCUCAAAAAAGGUAGGAUUCACAACAUGUUUUGAAAUCCUACAGAGUUCCUGAAGACACACACACACACACACACACACACACACACACACACACACUAGAUGUGAUAUGUGGUUAAUGGAAAAAUAGCAUCAGAGACACCGCAUUCAUUAACAGAAAUGAAUUUCGUUUGGCAUUUUCUUCUUUGGUCUUCUUGAUAUCUAUCUUAUAGCUACAUGCAGCACCUGUGGGCUGAUAAAUAAUGUAGUCAAAGAAUUCUGCAAAUCCAGAAAGGUCACUGUUUAUACAUCAUCUGUCUGUCAAGUAAAAUUCUUGGUUCAAAGCAAAAAAGCAAGUUUAUUUUGGGAAUUGGUAACUUGGAAUAACAGCUGCAAAAAGAAAUGAGAAAUAAAGACCCAUCACUUAAUUCUUUUUCUAAAUAUUCAUCUGAAGCCAAAUUUCAUCAAAUUUGAUUGGUUUUAAGGAGAAAAAUCUUGCCAGAUGGAAACAUGAAGAUUGGAAAAGCAACAGAACUUGGAUUUCAGAACUGUGGGGGAUUUAUAGAAGCAUUUGUUAACAACUGAGGAUAUGCACAGCCUGGGUGGGUGUCAGCUCAACUGUGUGACCUGGUGUCCCCAGCCCAGCCAUCCUUGUCUGCACAGCUGAGGAGGUUAAUGAUGAUGGAGAGACUUAGGGGUACUCCCCGCACUCUCUCCUGAGAUCCCAGAGCAAUCCUGAUUGUGGCCGUAAAUAUUUAUGUAGAACCAUCGCUUCUCGCCUCCAAGCUGGGAAUGACUUCGCAUUGAACUUCAGCCCUGCCUGCCCCAGAUUGACCGUGGCUUCCUGAAUCUUACAUUGCAGCAGCUCCUUCCUGCCCACUUUCUCCCUGUGCUAUCAGGGUGACCUGCAGCAAAUGUUCUCACACAGAAUCCUCAAACAACCUCCAGCACAAGGCAGGUGAUACCCUCGUUCUCCCAUGGGGAAACUCCAGCCUAGAGGUCAGGGGACUUGACAAAAGCACACAUGAAUGGUAGAGCCAAGCCUGCCUGUCUGCAAAUUCCUACUUUUGGUCUCUCUGCUGCCCUUUCAGCCCUGCCCCCAGGCUUCAGUUUGGGAGGCCCCUCAUCUGCACCUCACCCCCAGUGCCUCUGUCCUCACCUGUGCAGUGCUGGUUUGCAGGUUAACACCUGCAGGCUCCUCUGGGGCACAUUACUCUUGCUUGCUGUGUUCUGUGGCCACCACACUACCUUGGUUCUGGGGCUUGGCCGUUUUGAGGGUAGAAUCUCUGAAUGUCAGGGAAUUCAGUCUUGAAAAAUUUCCGCUUUGCUGGUAAAAGGAACGCCUCCAUUCUUUUCUCAGCUCAAGCAAACGUAGAUCACUGUCAGGGAACACAGUAUCAGCAAUUUCCCCUUCUCUUCAGAGCAUGGGACUGGACUGGAGAUCCCAUCUUUGGCUUCAAUAUUAAUAUCCAGGGAGUUACCACUUCCUUUCUAAACAAGGGAUGCUGCCUUUGGAGGAUGGUGCCCUGAUCUUGGAAGAGCCAGGUUACCCACGUUUACAGGGACUCUGUCAAAUGAAAAGGUGAAGACCUCAGGCACAGAAAAGCUCCUGCUCCAGGCUACACUGAUCUUUCCUAACCUCCUCAAACACAGCAGUCCUGGAGGGAAGCUAAGCAAAGACAGGCCUGCCUCAUAGUUUUUUUCAAACCCAUUCGUUUGAUUUGGUUUUGAUUAGAGUAGGCUAGUCAACAAUGAGCAAAGCCUUUCACAAAAGCCAAAAACAUACGGAAAUUCCAAAUUGGUGUUUAAAAUUCAAAAUUUGGCCCAAGAAUCUUACUCUACAAGAAAGAAAUCUGCAUUUGUAUAUUCUUUCUCAGUUACUCGAGAACAGACUUCCGUAUAUUCUAAUCAAAGGCCUUGGGUCCCAGAGGCUGUGUUGGUCUGGUUCCUGACAGCCCUUGAAUUCCAGCUUCUAAUCUUUUGCAGAUCUCACUAUGUGCAGACUAAACUAGAGAUGUCUUCAAAGGCAGCUCUCUAGACUUGUAUGUGCUGGCUGUUUUCUGGGCUCAAGUUCAUGCCAUGAUUGUCUGACCCAUCUUCCCUGGAGAGGCAGAUUUCUUCCAUUCCAGUCUUUAAUCAUUAUCUGUGUUAGGCUUGACCAACCUUUCUGAAGGACAAUUGAUUUUAAAUAGUAGUCACAGGCUUAAGUAUAGUCUACAAAGCAGAUUUUUAUUACACUGUAGUGAAAGGGCACACAUAAAAGUGCAUGUGAAUCACAGAAGGCAGGCGAGAGAAGGGGGUCAGCUCAGGACAGGAAGAGAAUAAAUUUGUCCACAAAUUACAUAAUCCACAAAUUACAUAAUACAUUAGCAAGUAACACAUUCGAUCCCAAACUCUCAGGGAGAAAAAAGUAAUUCGUUUUCAUGUUCCCUUGUUUUAUUUUUUCUUCUUAAAUAUUGAAAAUGAGUUGUGAUGAAAAGUCAAAUGGCUUUAAACCCAUGAUCAAUAUCCAUACUUGGAGACAAUAUUAAAACAAGCGAUUUUAAAACCAGACAAUAUUAAAACAAGACAAUGUUAAAACAAGAAUGACUAUUCUCCAUUUCAUUUCUCCUGUGAUACUGUGACUGUAACUGCCAUUGCUAACUAAAACAUUUGGGUUGGCUUUCUCACAUUUUAAAGCUCUUCUUAUUUCUUUUGUCACCCCAACAACUCUGUGACUCCCAUUUCAAUGAUCCCUGCUCCAGAGAUGAGUAAACUCAUUAGUUUAUCACUAUGCAGAGAGAGGGGUCUGAAAUCAGCACUAUGUGAUGUGGAUACUGACUGGGAUUUGCAGAUCGAUGCCCCCUACAUUUCUAUCCUCAGAUCCUGUAGAAAAUAACUAGCUCACAAUGCACAUGGCAGUCAUCAAAUUCUGUUGUGGAUGCCUGUUGCUACAUAACAAACUACCCCCAAAUUUAGAGGACUAACACUACAAUCACUUUCUUCUGUCUCAGUUUUAUAGAUCAGGAAUUUAGGGAGGACUUGGCUGCAGCCUGUGAUAUAGAUAGGGAACAUUCAGUGGCUAUCAGCUGGCAGCUGGUCUGUCUGGAGGGUCAGGCCACACACACACCUGGUGCCUUGGUAGGGACAGCUGGAAGGCAAUGCUCAGCUGAGCCCUUCUUCUUCUCCCAGGAGAGCCUCUCCAUGUUGUCUCUCCAGCAAAGCAGUUGAGCUUCUUUCAUGGAGGGCUCCCAGAGCCCGUGCUCUGAGCAACAGGAAAUGAAAGUUUCCUGACUCUUAAAGCCUGGACCUGAUCGAAACACUCACAGAACCUGCCUAGAUUUAAGGUGAAUGGCAAAUUUAUAUAAUGUCUGCACAGCUUCAUAUAAACAGGGAAGGUCCAAAACUGAUACCAUUUGAUGAUGACUACAUAGCUAUUUGUGAAUGGAGGCUCACAGUUUUGAGAAAGUUCCAUAUUCAAGGGAGAAAAGAGCAGCAAUGUUAUCUCAUCUGAGGCCCCAAAUUCCUACUUUCCAUUGAAUGACUAGCCCUGGAUUUCCCAGAGCACAGUGUAUGCGACUGUCAACUGUCCACACCCAGGAAGAUCUAAAAAGAAGAGACAGUUCUGAGGUGAUUUGUGAGGCCUAGAUUUCCAACAGCUCUUUCUUCCCCUGUGGUAGGCAGGCUGGUGGUGGAGGCAGGGGGAAGAAUGCUACUGUUGCAUGACACACUACCCCAAAACUCAGAGGCUUAGACUUCAUUCCCUAAACUUAGGAAUAUUACCAUAUUUAGCAAAAGGGGCUUUGCAGAUGUGAUUAAGUGAAGGAUUUUGAGAUGGAGAGAUAACCCUGGAUCAUUGGGCAUACCCAAUGUAGUCACAAGGGCCCGUGUAAUAGGGAGGCAGGAGAACAGAGUGGGUAGCAGGAGAUGAGAGGCGGGGAGCAAGAGGUCUGAGUGAGAGGAGGAAGAGGCCAGGAGCCAAGGAACAUGGGCAGCCUCUAGAAACUGGGAGGCAAAGAACAGAGUCUUCACUGGAGCCUCCAGAAGGAACUGCUGACACCUUGGUUUUAGCCCCGUGAGACUCACUACAGACUUCUGACUUCCAGAACUGUAAGAUUAAAAGUGCGUGUGGCUUGAAGUCACUAACUUUUAUGGUAAUUUGUUACAGCAACAACAGGAAACCAAUUUACUCUCCUAAAACACCGUGAAUAAGUUACCUAUAUAGCAUCUCAUGGAAUUUAUAUUGCACAGGGGUUGACCUAAUAAAGUGCAACAGAGCCUCUUCCGCCCAGAGAUAAACUAGGAUUCCGCAUCCCACCUCCGGCUAAAUCCCCGUGAACACAUGGUUCGAUUUUUGUUCAUCCUGCCUUUGUAAGUGAACGGCUUCCAGGGAAAAGAGUUAAAAGUAACCAGGAGUUAAAGGCCAUCUUCUAAUGACUGAGGGAGCUAGUAACAGUGAAUUUUGCUUUUUUUAAACUUCUAAACUUGAAAGAGUGGUUUAACUAGGGAGGUCUCUUUUAAGGACAAGGCCACUAAACCUCGAGUAGAUUUCUUUCUUUGCUUUUCUUAGAGGUGGGGUCUUGCUAUGUUGCCCAGGCUGGAGUGCAGUGGCUAUUCACAAGCACAAUCACAACGCACCGCAGCCUUGAACUCCUGGCCCAAGUGAUCCUCCCACUGCAGCCUUCCAAGUAGCUGGGGCUACAGGCACGCACUACCACUCCCAGUAUGAAUGGGUUUCUUAAGAGUUAUCCAGAUAAUUCAGACUUAACGUCUCAUAUUAGAGAAUAAAACUCAACUAAUAUCUUUUUUGACAGGGAAAUAAUGUAAAAAUGUUUACAUUAUUACACACUACAAUAAUAAUGUACUAAUGUUUAUCUACUUUUGUCAAGUACUUUCACAGACCACUCUCCAUGAAUGUUAAGCAUCAUGACAAGUAAGCUUGUCUUCCUUAUAAGAGAGACUGGGAAGUGGAGACUCAGAAAAAUUCAGCAACUCAGGGAACUCCCAUACUAAGUUGUGAAGGGACUGAUCUUGGAUUUGAGUCUAAGCCUGAGUUCCAAGUGCCUCCCCUUAAACCUCUCAGGUCAAGACCAAAGGCAAAUGUUCCUACCAAGCUCCCUGCUCCUCACCCAGCAAGAAGGGUUUAGAUAACUGAAGAGGGUUAAAUCAAAAAUCAGUAAGACAUUUGCCUAUAUCAGACACCAACCUGACCUCAGUUUAAAAGAAGUGUCCUUUGAAGGCCAGGUGCAGUGGCUCACGCCUGUAAUCCCAGCACUUU